rnacentral:rRNA from 1 species
GAGACAGCAGCCGCCACGGUAAUACGUAGGUGGCGAGCGUUGUCCGGAAUUAUUGGGCGUAAAGGGAGCGCAGGCGGACAUAUAAGUCCAUCUUAAAAGUUCGGGGCUUAACCCCGUGAUGGGAUGGAAACUGCUGAUCUAGAGUAUCGGAGAGGAAAGUGGAAUUCCUAGUGUAGCGGUGAAAUGCGUAGAUAUUAGGAAGAACACCAGUGGCGAAGGCGACUUUCUGGACGAAAACUGACGCUGAGGCGCGAAAGCCAGGGGAGCAAACGGGAUUAGAUACCCCAGUAGUCCCUGUCUCUUAUACA